rnacentral:lncRNA from 1 species
UCUGGCUGGGGCAUCUCCUGGUGGAUCAACCGCGAGCUAAUUCCCGUGCUCCACGUUGAACGCGGCAAGACGUACAAGUUUAUCGUGGAAGGCGGGGACGACAACACCACGUCGACCAACUACCACCCCUUCUACAUUACCGACAGCACCAAGGGCGGCGGCUCCAAGGAGAUUGCAUCCCUCGGCAAGCCGGGACAUCUCCUGUUCGCUGGCGUAUCCCUUGACGCUCAGGGUAAUCCCGUCGUCUCCAAGGGCGUGGCCACGGGUCGCCUCUGCGAGUGGAAAGAAGACCCGAAUGGCGCGAGCGACAAGGCCACCACGUGGGAGGAAUACAACAAGACGCUGAAGCUGGAGUGUAAGCCAGGUCAGCCGGGACAAUUCAGCUGGACCCCGGACUCAAACACGCCGAACGUCGUAUAC